rnacentral:rRNA from 1 species
UACGUAGGGGGCAAGCGUUGUCCGGAAUCAUUGGGCGUAAAGCGCGUGUAGGCGGUUCAGUAAGUCUGCUGUGAAAGUCCAGGGCUCAACCCUGGGAUGCCGGUGGAUACUGCUGGGCUAGAGUACGGAAGAGGCGAGUGGAAUUCCCGGUGUAGCGGUGAAAUGCGCAGAUAUCAGGAGGAACACCGGUGGCGAAGGCGCUCAUCUGGCCCAAUACUGACGCUGAGGCGCGAAAGCUAGGGGAGCAAACGGG